rnacentral:tRNA from 1 species
UGCUUAGCUCAGUUGGUAGAGCAGCUGACUCUUAAUCAGCGGGUCGAGGGUUCGAAUCCCCCAGCA